rnacentral:rRNA from 1 species
AAUAUGGAGAGUUUGAUCCUGGCUCAGAGUGAACGCUGGCGGCGUGCCUAAUACAUGCAAGUCGAACGAUGAAGCCUUUAGCUUGCUAGAGGUGGAUUAGUGGCGCACGGGUGAGUAAGGUAUAGUUAAUCUGCCCCGCACUGGGGGACAACACUUAGAAAUGAGUGCUAAUACCCCAUACUCCUAUUUAGCAUAAGUUAGAUAGGGAAAGUUUUUCGGUGUAGGAUGAGACUAUAUAGUAUCAGCUAGUUGGUAAGGUAAAGGCUUACCAAGGCUAUGACGCUUAAGAGGUCUGAGAGGAUGAGCUCUCACACUGGAACUGAGACACGGUCCAGACUCCUAUGGGAGGCAGCAGUAGGGA